AUGGGAAAUAAACAGGAAGAGCUGGAGUUCUGCGUGCGGUCACAAGGUCAUGAUCUCAUUGCGAUCACGGAGACGUGGUGGGACAGCUCGCAUGACUGGAAUGUUGUCAUGGAGGGCUAUGUGCUUUUUAGGAAAGAUUGGCUGGCUAGGCGGGGUGGUGGAGUUGCUCUUUAUGUGAGAGAGCAGCUAGAAUGUAUUGAACUUCACUUGGGGGAGAGUGGUGUAGCAGUGGAGAGCUUAUGGGUGAGAAUCAAGGGGCAGGCUGGUAAGGGUGACACUGUUGUGGGUGUCUACUAUAGGCCCCCUGAUCAGAAUGAGGAGGCUGAUGAGGCCUUCCAUAAGCAACUGGAUGUAGCGUCACGUUCCCAGGCACUGGUGCUUAUGGGGGACUUCAACUAUCCAGAUAUUUGCUGGACGACCAACAUGGCCAGGCACGCAUGGUCCAGAUGGUUCUUGCAGUGCGUUGAAGACAACUUUCUGAUGCAGGUGGUGGAGGAACCGACGUGGGGAGGGGUGUUACUGAACCUUAUUCUCACCAACAGGGAUGGACGUGUUAAGGAAGUAAAGGCUGGGGGCAGCUUAGGUUGUAGUGAUCAUGAGAUGGUGGAGUUCAAGAUCCUGAGUGGAAGAAGCAAAGCAAUAAGUAGGAUUGCUACCCUGGACUUUAGGAGAGCCAACUUCGAUCUCUUCCGGGACCUACUUGGAGCUAUCCCGUGGGCUCGGGUGUUAGAAGGUGAGGGGGCCUCUGAGAGCUGGUCAGCAUUUAAACAGCUCUUCUUCCAAGCUCAGGAUCGGUGCGUCCCUCUGAGCAAGGAAUUGGGAAAAGGUGGCAGGAGACCUGUGUGGAUGAGCAAGGAGCUCAUGCGCAAGCUUAAAGGAAAGAAGAGGGUCCAUGAAAUGUGGAAAAAGGGUCUGACCACUUGGGAAGAAUGUAGGAAUGUAGUCAGGGCCUGCAGGGAUGCAACAAGGAAGGCUAAAGCCCACCUGGAAUUGAAUUUGGCUAAAGUGAUAAAGGAUAAUAAAAAAGACUUCUUCAAGUAUGUUAACAGCAAAAGAAAAACUAGGGAGAAUGUGGGCCCCUUACUAAGUGAGGGGGGUUCUGGUAAUGGGAGAUGUUGA
rnacentral:lncRNA from 1 species